rnacentral:lncRNA from 1 species
GGCUGUGGAUGAAAGUUUGGCCACUUUGUUUCCUUUUUAUUGUAAGUAAUGAAUGAUGUUUUUAGAGAGUGCUUUGAAUUUCUACUGACUUGCAAAUGAGUAUCUUACCUGAGAUGGACAUUGCAUAUUUCUGAGAGCUAUUCUUUAAGACUCUAUUCUUUAAGGACUUUUGUGUUCUUUGGAAAUUGAUACCAAGGAAACAAACAUAAAGACACCAAAGUGAGGUACAUUAAUAUAUAGAAAGUGACCACAUUUAUUGCAUUCCCUGUGAAAGCAAGAUGCUCAAAUACACAUCUUUAACCCCUACACAGGGAGCAUCUAAUACAUACAGUGGCUGUCACUCCUCUCCAAUCCCAGGCUGAAGGCCGGCACUGCUACCCAUUACAACUCUCUUUGUUACUAAGCCAGGACUGACCUCAUAAUGAAAUGGCCCUGGGUGGUGAAUGCCAAUAAAUCAGAGUUACCCAAGAGGUGAUGCCUCUUUGACAUGCCCUCCCACCCUGAGUUUGCUAAAACUACCAGCAAAAGGAAAGACUUCAAACAGCAGGAGUUGCUAGUUGUUUGUCAAAAUACAUUUGCUCCUUCUUUAGUCGAAGGUGCAGAUACAGCUCCAGGAUCCCUUUCAGUUCUUGUGGGCAUAGAACUAAAUUCUGCCCACUGUGAUGUGAGCAGAAAGGAUGUGAACAGUCCUCUGGGUUCAAAAGGAGAGGAGCCCUCUUCUUCCUUCUCACUGGCUGAGGGAUAAAGAAGCUAAAGCAGCCACUUUGCACCGAAAGACAGAAGCCAGGCUUUGAGAAUGGAAAAUUAUCUACCUGAGGGAGAAGUGAACUUCUGUCUUGUGCCAGCCGCUGGAUAUGGGGUCUCCUGUUACAGUGGCACAGCCUGUACCUCUUCCAAUACAUGUGACCAGCAGGAGAAUCCCCUUUCUUUGCUUUUCUCUGGGGCUCCUUGCUCUGUUCCAACUCUCUCGACAGCCCUCCAUGAUCUCAAGGCUUGAGAAAAUAGAGUAGCUUUCUUAUAAAAAUAUCAAGGAUUGCUGCUUUGGAACGAAAAGCUGAAAAGAAGUGAAUAUAUGCAAGUCAUAAAUCAGGAAAAGGGGAAAAUACUGACUCCAUUCCUGCCUUUGGCCCUGUGUGUGGUCCAGGAGGUUGAAGAAAGUUACAGUCCUCAAUGGACAGAGGAGUGAGGAACCCAGAUUCACCGGGUACUGGCAAAUUUAUACUUUGCACAAGGUUUUCUCGUUAAUUUUUUUUCUGAUUAAAUGAGAUCUAAUCUGAAGUUGCUUUUUAAUGCACACUUUUGUUAUGUGACUGUGUUUUCAUUCCUGCCCCAGUAAUUUUCUUUACUUGUGGCAACUUUCUUUGAUAUUGGAGAACAUCAAUGUCUCCAAAUCUCCAUUCUAAUCAACAAGAAAAAAAAAAUAGAGACAGGGCUGAAUUGUUCAUUGCUGAUUUAAAAAUAAACAUUUUUUAAAAAUCCACAUUUGUAUUCCACUCUAGUUUGCCUAACAUUCUUUUUCUAAUGGGAAGAAAGCAGCAUAUGCAGAGACUGGGUGCAGACACUCCACCCUCACCGGGAGGAGGGAAACUGGCCUUUUUCAAAAUAGGAAAAAUCUUCCUUUGUUAUGAGCAAUUUCCUAGUGACAGAGGCAACCAUCUAUAGACAUUUGUCAUGUUUUCUAGAACCUACUCUUUGGACAACAAGCAAUUGCCCAGGUGGGAGAGAAACAUGGGGUGUGAACAGGAGACAAUCACAUUGCCUCUCAUUAUGGCAUCUGCAUCCCUCCCCAGCUGGGCAACUCCGUAUGGCCAGAAGCUCCUGUUGUUUUCUGCCUCAGAUGACCCAGUGGUGAUGCACUGAGAAAACACCGCUGUCCAUUGGGUCCAACACAAUUCCUGUUGAAUGAGGAAAGGAGAAACAGUUGGUUUGGACCCUCUGACUCCCAAAUGCCAUUUUUGCUAAGUAUGUAAGAAGCUAGAAAGUCUUACCCAGGAUUUGACAUCUGAGUCAAGAGCUCAAAAGUCAAUAAUGUGACCUGAACCUGAACCUUCGCGAACAGCUUCCAACGCCUGGCUGAGAAGAAAGGGCUCGUGGGGUAUUUGGUUGCAUUUCUCUUGGCCACAAAGGAUCCUGGUUGUUUCAAGUUCCUCUAUUUGAAGUGCACAUUUCCUGUUGUUUUAAUUUGCUUGUUUGGUGAGUAAUUGUGGUGAUGAAUUGUUUUUCAUUCUAUGGCGAGGAUGAAAAGGACACUUUCUUUGCUUCUUCACCUCUGCCCCACAAUGGAGAGCGGCAGCGCCUCUGAAGGCAAGGGGAGUGGGGUUUCCGAAUCCCCAGGAGAAAACACAGGUCUCUGCUGCGGCGGUCUGGUCCAGAGAACCUACAUCCGGAGGCUUUCAUUUCCUCAUCUGUACCAUCUCCCAAACAGACAUUUCUGAGAGUGAAAAGAGGCACCAUUAGAAUUAGCCUGGGUUAGCCAGAAAGGAGGUGGUCUUGGGCAAAACUAGAUGUGAUGCGAUCCCAGGGGACUCUAGGGUCUCUCCCAGCUGAGACAUCCUAAAUUAUGAAAAUGCAAGGCCCAUUCUGUAUCCCACAAGGGCCUGAGUAAGCUCCGUGAGCCAUCAUAAGCUGCCAACCUUUAGCUGCACAAGAGAAAUGAACUCUGUAGGGGACAUAUCCAAUUCCGAUUUAAAUUUAAUCUGUGUGGUCAAUUAUUUGUGUAAUAAUGGAGGAAAAUAAAGUCUAUUUCACAAAAGUCAACUCUGUAAUUUUAGAGCCUUUAAGACAUUUGAAAAUGCCUUGUGCAAUUAUGUGGCGCUUAAUACUCAGAUAAUGGAACAAUGAAAGAUGUAUGUUUGCAUUUUGUAAAAUUAAACUGUAUGCAGUUAUUUAUCUUUUACCUUAAUUGUUUGAGCUUGUUUCUAAUGUAAACUGUUGUAAUUUUAAAUAAAUAUAAUAGAAAAAACUUUCAUAGGUAUCAAGAAUCCAGAGUAAAUUUACUUUGCAAAUAGGCUUUGUAGGUAUGUUUUAUGCUGAGGAUCUUAAACUGAC